rnacentral:rRNA from 1 species
GUAAGGAAUAUUGGUCAAUGGACGCAAGUCUGAACCAGCCAUGCCGCGUGGAGGAUGAAGGCCCUCUGGGUUGUAAACUUCUUUUAUGGGGGACGAAAUCACUUAUUCUUAAAUGUCUGACGGUACCCCAGGAAUAAGCACCGGCUAACUCCGUGCCAGCAGCCGCGGUAAUACGGAGGGUGCAAGCGUUAUCCGGAUUCACUGGGUUUAAAGGGUGCGUAGGAGGGUGAGUAAGUCAGUGGUGAAAUCUUCGAGCUUAACUCGGAAACUGCCGUUGAUACUACUUGUCUUGAAUACCGUGGAGGUGAGCGGAAUAUGUCAUGUAGCGGUGAAAUGCUUAGAUAUGACAUAGAACACCAAUUGCGAAGGCAGCUCACUACACGAAUAUUGACUCUGAGGCACGAAAGCGUGGGGAUCAAACAGGAUUAGAUACCCUUGUAGUCC